GGGAGCUUGCUCCUUGAUUCAGCGGCGGACGGGUGAGUAAUGCCUAGGAAUCUGCCUGGUAGUGGGGGACAACGUUUCGAAAGGAACGCUAAUACCGCAUACGUCCUACGGGAGAAAGCAGGGGACCUUCGGGCCUUGCGCUAUCAGAUGAGCCUAGGUCGGAUUAGCUAGUUGGUGGGGUAAUGGCUCACCAAGGCGACGAUCCGUAACUGGUCUGAGAGGAUGAUCAGUCACACUGGAACUGAGACACGGUCCAGACUCCUACGGGAGGCAGCAGUGGGGAAUAUUGGACAAUGGGCGAAAGCCUGAUCCAGCCAUGCCGCGUGUGUGAAGAAGGUCUUCGGAUUGUAAAGCACUUUAAGUUGGGAGGAAGGGCAGUAAGUUAAUACCUUGCUGUUUUGACGUUACCGACAGAAUAAGCACCGGCUAACUCUGUGCCAGCAGCCGCGGUAAUACAGAGGGUGCAAGCGUUAAUCGGAAUUACUGGGCGUAAAGCGCGCGUAGGUGGUUUGUUAAGUUGGAUGUGAAAGCCCCGGGCUCAACCUGGGAACUGCAUCCAAAACUGGCAGGCUAGAGUACGGUAGAGGGUGGUGGAAUUUCCUGUGUAGCGGUGAAAUGCGUAGAUAUAGG
rnacentral:rRNA from 2 species